GGGAUCUCCUGACACAGUUCCAUCUAACUCUAGCACAGAGAUUAUGGUGGUGGUUAAUUCAUUCAUUAAUUGUCAGCCUGAGUGGGAACGCUCAGCUGAUUAGAGUCAGCCUGGUUGUCAGAGCGAUACAGAAGGAGAACAGGAGGGGAGGAGUUCAGCUGAUCUUCCUUGGAAGAGCUUCCUCUGCGACUGCUUUUCUUCGGAAGAGUUCCGGCGGUUUUCUUCAAAGGCGCUUUGGCCGCUUCCGGUCCUCGAGCUCCAGUCCCAGUCUUCACUUUGGACGCGGUCUUCUGGUUUCCAGUGUCGAUCCCUCAGCCUUCUGGCUCUGAUCCUUCAUCCAUUUGGUGCAAGCACUUUGGCUGCUGGCGCUGGCCCUCGGGCCUUUCAGAAGAAAUGGGACAAGUCUCCAGAGAAUAGAAGUAGCAGGUCUGAGUUACCCUUCCGGAGAUGGUCUGCUGGUGACCCAACAGCAGAAAGGCACAGAUCCCAGCAUUUUGAACAUGGAACGUAA
rnacentral:lncRNA from 1 species